rnacentral:tRNA from 1 species
CGAAAUUGUAGUUUAAUUAAAACAUUAGCAUUGGAAGCUAAAGAUUAGGUUACUAAUCCUACGUUUCGA